rnacentral:rRNA from 1 species
UAGCUUGCUACUGGAUUCAGCGGCGGACGGGUGAGUAAUGCUUAGGAAUCUGCCUAUUAGUGGGGGACAACGUUCCGAAAGGAGCGCUAAUACCGCAUACGUCCUACGGGAGAAAGCAGGGGACCUUCGGGCCUUGCGCUAAUAGAUGAGCCUAAGUCGGAUUAGCUAGUUGGUAGGGUAAAGGCCUACCAAGGCGACGAUCUGUAGCGG